rnacentral:lncRNA from 10 species
CAAAUAUGUGAGCAAUCCAAUUCCAGAAUUCCACUUUCCCAGGACUACUCAUGGUACAAAUUACUGUAUUAGUCAGGGUUGUAGCAGGAAACAGAUGGCACAACCAAAAGUAAUGAUCAAAGAGGGUGUAGGCAAGAAUAACAAAAAUCUAUGGAGAUGGUGCAGCAGCUUAGGCUAAGCAAGAGCAAGAUCUUUCUACUUCUAAAAUGAAAAGGCAGGGAAAAGUUGUUCCUGAACCCAUGAGAUGUAUAUAUGGAGAAGGCUAUGUCAGAAGCUGUGAUGCUGAGGAACACAGCUAUUUCCAAGCCACUGCAGGGCAGGAAGGGAAUCAUCAUGACUUUGUACCAUUUCGUAUUGGAAUUUCUUCUGUGAAGCAAAAACAGUCCCAAAAUGAAGGAUCUUCAGGUGUCAUGGGAACGGCAGAUGACAUUAAAUCAUUAAAGUUGAGAAUAGUAAAUUGCCUCUGGGUUGGUUUGGAAUCAUCCUGAGAUGGAACCUAAAAGACAAAAGCAGAUUACCUUAUUGUUAUAUUGCAUGUUAAUCUUAUGAUCAAUUUCAUAAUCAUGAAAAUAAGUAAGACCAACUUACAUUUCAGUAGUAUUAAAUGACAACAUAGGAUUCCUAGAACAUUGUUUGUAUUUCUUAUAUUAGUGUUGCCAAUACAACAAAUCAAAAAAAAAUGAAAUAGAAAA